rnacentral:rRNA from 1 species
GACGAACGCUGGCGGCGUGCUUAACACAUGCGAGUCGAACGGAAAGGCCCUGCUUUUGUUCGGUGCUCGAGCGGCGAACGGGUGAGUAACACGUGAGUAACCUGCCCUUGACUUUGGGAUAACUUCAGGAAACUGCGGCUAAUACCGGAUAGGAGCUCCUGCUGCAUGUUGGGGGUUGGAAAGUUUCGGCGGUUGGGGAUAGACUCGCAGCUUAUCAGCUUGUUUGUGGGGUAGUGGCUUACCAAGGCUUUGACGGGUAGCCGGCCUGAGAGGGUGACCGGCCACAUUGGGACUGAGGUACGGCGCAGACUCCUACGGGAGGCAGCAGGGGGGAAUAUUGCACAAUGGGCGGAAGCCUGAUGCAGCAACGCCGCGUGCGGGAUGACGGCCUUCGGGUUGUAAACCGCUUUCGACUGUGACGAGGCGUGAGUGACGGUAAUGGGUAAAGAAGCACCGGCUAACUACGUG